rnacentral:tRNA from 2 species
GCGGGUGUAGCUCAGCUGGUUAGAGCGUCCGCCUGUCACGCGGAAGGUCGCCGGUUCAAGUCCGGUCGCCCGCGCAA